CCUACGGGUGGCAGCAGUGGGGAAUAUUGGGCAAUGGGCGCGAGCCUGACCCAGCAACGCCGCGUGAAGGAAGAAGGCUUUCGGGUUGUAAACUUCUUUUUACAGGGAAGUGUAGCAGACGGUACCUGUCGAAUAAGCCACGGCUAACUACGUGCCAGCAGCCGCGGUAAUACGUAGGUUGCAGGCGUUGUCCGGAUUUCGUGGGUGUAAAGGGCGUGUAGCCGGGUUGACAAGUCAGAUGUGAAAUCUUGCGGCUUAACCGCAGAAUUGCAUUUGAAACUGUUGAUCUUGAGUACUGGAGAGGCAGACGGAAUGCCUAGUGUAGCGGUGAAAUGCGUAGAUAUUAGGCGGAACACCAGUGGCGAAGGCAGUCUGCUGGACAGCAACUGACGGUGAGGCGCGAAAGCGUGGGGAGCAAACAGGAUUAGAUACCCCAGUAGUC
rnacentral:rRNA from 1 species